rnacentral:rRNA from 1 species
AGAGUUUGAUCCUGGCUCAGAGCGAACGCUGGCGGCGUGCUUAACACAUGCAAGUCGAACGCGCAGCAUUCUGUAGCAAUACAGGGUGUGGGCGCGUGGCGAACGGGUGCGUAACACGUGGAUAACCUUCCUUGAGGUGGGGAAUAACCCAGUGAAAAUUGGGCUAAUACCGCAUAACAUCGCGAUGGCACAUGCUGAUGCGAUCAAAGGCGCAAGUCGCCACAAGAGGGAUCCGCGGCCGAUUAGCUUGUUGGCGAGGUAAUGGCUCACCAAGGCAAUGAUCGGUAGCCGGACUGAGAGGUUGGCCGGCCACACUGGAACUGAGACACGGUCCAGACUCCUACGGGAGGCAGCAGUGGGGAAUCUUGCACAAUGGACGAAAGUCUGAUGCAGCAACGCCGCGUGGGGGAUGAAGCUUCUCGGAGUGUAAACCCCUUUCGACCCGGAAGAAUGCCCGCAAGGGUAUGACGGUACGGGUAUAAGAAGCCCCGGCUAACUACGUGCCAGCAGCCGCGGUAAUACGUAGGGGGCCAGCGUUGCUCGGAAUUACUGGGCGUAAAGGGUCCGUAGGCGGUGUAGCAAGUCGAUAGUGAAAUCUCUGCGCUUAACGCAGAGGCUGCUAACGAAACUGCUGUGCUAGAGUGUGAGAGAGGCGAGUGGAAUUACGGGUGUAGCGGUGAAAUGCGUAGAUAUCCGUAGGAACAUCCGAGGCGAAGGCGGCUCGCUGGAUCACAACUGACGCUGAGGGACGAAAGCUAGGGGAGCAAACAGGAUUAGAUACCCUGGUAGUCCUAGCCCUAAACCAUCACGACUUGGGGUUUGCCCUGUACGGGGCAAGUCCCGUAGCUAACGCGUUAAGUCCUGCGCCUGGGGAGUACGGUCGCAAGGCUGAAACUCAAAGGAUUUGACGGGGCCCGCACAAGCGGUGGAACAUGUGGUUCAAUUCGACGCACCCGAAGAACU